UCUGGGCUCUCUCGCGAACAAUGGAUGACGUCACUGCUACGUCACUCACGUGUGACGUCACCUGAAGACUUUUUUUCCCUAAGUUAGUUUUGACUUUUCCCCGUGUCGCCACGGAGUGCCUAGUAUGUCACGUGCUUGAUGAAUUUCGUCCCUAAUGUCCUAGUGUCAUCUUCACCUCCGCCGGCACUGUCUCCGCGCACGUGUCACGAAGUGUCGUCGGUGUCGUCAAGUAGCCGCAAAAGUCAAUACUCCCAUGAAAUGCGACGUUUGUGGCGUUGGCCUGUCUUCACUGGAAAAAUAUGGGGAGCACCACAUCGCAGCGCACAAAUUCGCCGCCGAAUACGUGCAGCAGGCGUUCCACAAAGAUAAAGAAUUCAGUGAAUGGAAAGCUCAGGAAGAGGCGAACUGUUGGUUUGUUCUUCACACGGCUCCCAAAAAGCUGGCCAGUGGGGAAACGAGGAGCCACUACUACUCUAAUAGAUCAGGAGUGGCUAGGCCAAAGGAAGGUCAUGGUAAUCGUCGAGAAAAAAGUCAGGGUACCUGCAAGUCCGGUAAGAUAUGUCUUUCAUUUAUUACUGUGACGAAGAAGGAGAACACUCAGAGCCCGGCACCUGAAGAUAUCACCAUAAAUGUAAGGUACCAAAGAAAGCAUUAUGGCCAUGAAGCAGAAAUUCAGCACUUGAGGAUGAGUGACAAAGAAAAGGCCAACGGGGUUAACCAACGUAGCAGAGGACCUGGAGCGUGGUGUGCCCAUGAAAACCAUAUUGAAUAAUAUAAGAACAUCUGUUGGGGGCAUGUAAGCUGAGGCCAGCACAUUUGGCAGAACGCAUAACUCUGCAUAAUAUCAAACGGCAGUUUCACAUUGCUGCUCCUGAACAGUGUCACACCAAUGAUGCUGUCAGUGUAGAUAUGUGGGUGAAAGCAAUGUAAGACAAAGGUGAAACACUUGUCUGUCUGUAUAAGGCACAAGGUGCAGUGGACCCAACUGGUACUUUUGGUGCAACAGAUUUUGCCCUUGCUUUGAUGACAGAGCCACAAAAAGAGCUGUUAGAAGAAUUGGGCACGGGCACUGUGUGUCUUGACUCAACACAUGGAACUACAGGGUAACAGUUUGAGCUGACCACUCUUCUAGUGCUAGAUGAAGUGGGAUAAGGUAUACCUAUAGCCUAUUUCAUCUGCAACAGGAUGAAUGAGGAAAACUUGGCAGCUUUUUCAGGUCUCUUGAGUGUGCCAUCAACGAAAAAGUGGCUGCUAAGACAUUUAUGUCUGAUGACGCCUCACAAUUUUACAAGGCAUGGUCGUCAGUUAUGGGUGUCCCUCAGCAGAAACUUCUCUGCACCUGGCAUGUGGAUAGGAAUUGGCAGAAGAAGAUACGAGUUUGUAGAAAAACAACUGAGGCCAGACGUGUACCACAACGUGCGACUCCUUUUAGAGUUCCUUGACCAGCAAGAAUUUGAAAAGUAUCUUCAAUCAUUCCUUGACACUGAGGAAGAAAAACUGAGGGAUUUUCUGAAGUACUUCAAGGACAACUAUGCAGUUAGACCUCAAGAGCGGGCCUACUGCUUUAGGACGAGGGCAGGUAUCAACACCAACAUGCACCUUGAGAGCAUGCACAGGACGAUGAAGCACAGCAUGCUGGAGGGAAAGAAGAAUAAGCGUGUUGAUAAACUAAUUUCUGUACUCAUGGACUUGACAUAUCAUUUUUUGAUGAAGAGGGCAAUCCAGAUGAUCAAAGGGCAAGAAGUUGAGUGCAGUUGAAAGGUACCACAGAUCUGGCACUGAAAUGGCAGGUUGUGCCAAAUUAAACGAAGACGGCACGUGGACUGUGCCAUCUCAGUCUACUAAAGGGCACUCUUAUACGGUGACAAAAGUUGGGGAUGCUGCUUGCUGUCCCUUGAGAUGCAAUGAAUGUGCAGUGUGUGCGCACCUGAUACACUUCAAAGUGUGCAAGCACAUUCACUGUGUGGUCAUUGCUAACACAUUGUCAAGCACUGACAAUAACGACUAUGAGAGCCCACCUGAAACAGUAACUGAAACGAGUCGGGCAUUGCACAUAGUGCAAGGCAUUGCAAAGCUGGAGGCGGCCACAACAGUGCCGAGCCAAAAGUCAUGGAUCGAUCUCGGCCGCGGCGGUCACAUUUCGAUGGAGGCGAAAUGGUAGAAGCCCGUGUACGUACGAUGGCAGUGCACGUUAAAGAACACCAGAUGGUCUAUAGAACACCAGAUGGUCAAAAUUUCCGGAGCCCUCGACUACAGCGUGCCUUUACCUACCUCGUGGUUUUGGCACGUAAAACCCCAGAAAUUGUUAUUAUUAUUGCCAAUGAUGACCACAUGCCUCAACAAAUAUGAAAAGUACUAUGUGUUGAUGUUGGCACUGGACCGAGGUUUCCACUAAAUAUAAAAUUUAAGUCACUCAUAUGUCUCAUCUGCUCUAUCUGACACAACUGCUGCUGUAAUUAAUAAUUGACUGGAAUGCAAGGUGUUCGAUUGGUGAAUGUGCUGACCUGCCCAUUUCUCACUUAUGAUUUCUCAUUUCAGAUAUUGUAUUGCUGAUUGUAGAGGUGUUAAAUGACAUUGAUUUCCCAAAGCUAUGGAGGAACCAAACCAGCAUUUUAAUAAAGCCUUAUUGUCAAAGCUUAACCUGGUUGUGUCUUCCUGGUUGUGUCUUCCUGUGUUGAUAAUGCAUACUUGUGCAUGCGGUUUCUGCGCUACAUUCAUUACAGUAAUGCAAUGCAGUUUCAUUUCAAGCCACGAGGACAGAGUCAGAAUCGAUUUAGAUCUGUUUCUUUCUUUAUGAAUGCUUAGAUUAUUAUUGUUGUUGUUGUUAUUAUUAUUAUUGCAGCGGUAUUUGCACACGUUUUCUGGCUACGGCGCGAACCCUUUAUUACAGAGGAGAGCUCGAUCAACAUCGACAUCGUCUGCAAUGGCGGAUUGUUUAUUUGCAAUUUGCAGCGUUUGCGCGAUGUAAAUUGUUCUUUCGCUAGUUUCUUGUACGCGGUAAUGUUAACAUUAACGCUCGCUAUCGAGUUUAGGGCAUGUCUUCUCACACGUGAAGGUGUGGUGCCUUUUUCACCCGUGGAUAUUCGUACUCGACUCCGCUCGCCCACCACAGCAGGUGAGGUCAUUGUUCAUCCGCCUUGGUGCAGUUGGCCUGCCUUGCAAACUCAUAAACGGCAUUGUGUGUUGCUGCCAUGUCUUCCGUUACUUUCUCUCAGUAGCAUGAACGAACUAUCUGCAUCCGUUUUGUCUGCACUACAACGGAGAUGCCUCAACUUCAGCCUAUGUUAACCCCCACUGCCUUUCAAGGAACAAUGUCAACAACGCCAGCACUAUGUGCUGCUGGGCCUUAUAACAUAAGCUUGCUCAGUGGCACAAACUGUCCAUAUAUUUUUGCCCCACAAUGCAACUGUGCCAUUCUCAGUGGUCCGUAUUGGGAAGCACUCCAGAUCUACAAACACUAUGAUGUGCUGUUGGCUGCUAGAAAAUGACUCAUUUAUAACAGCGGAGUUUUGCACAACAUAGAAAGGGUUAUGAAUGUAAAAAUGGCCAUCCCACUCCCAUUUGUCCAUCCACUCCCAUUUGUUGCACAAAGCUACGAUAAAAUUCAUAUGGAUUUCUCAUAAAGAACAGCAUUUUAGUUGGCGAAAAAUUUUGACAUGGUCCACAGUUUGAACUCGAGAACGACUUUUUUUCGGGGUGGUCGCUCUACCAUUUAAGCUAACCAGUAUGCUAGUAAUCAAAGUGCGAGGGCAAAUUCAGUUUGAAGCGCAUGGACACUGAAUAUGACAAAUGAGUUCUGUGGAAAGCACAGUAGGUAUAAGUAGCUUAUAGCCAGCUGCAAGUAAUGUUUUUUCUUUCAAGUUUGAUUUUCAUAAAUAGAUAUUAACGCAGAAUCUUCUGCUAAAAGCUGCUGCACGUUUCCACAGGACCCAUUUGCCACAUUCUGUGUGCUUUGACUUUUCAACUAAUUGGCCCUUACACUGCCCAUUGCUAGCCUACUGGCUAUCUCAGUUGUAGAGAAACAGCCCUGGAAAGGUGUUGGUUCCAGGCUUGAGCCCAGGAACAGUACGAAUUUUUUGUCUUCCUUUCUGAGAAAUCAGUAUGGAUUUCCUGGUAGCCUUGUACAAAACAGGUGGAUGGCCAUUUUUCAAUUCAAAAUAACUUGUUCUCUACACAGAUGAUGUAUGCGAACACAACUGUGAUGCCUUGAAUCAUGUCUGGACGAGCUGGGCUUGGAGCAUGUAGCCAAAUGUGAUGGUAGGAGCUCCAAGUGAAUGUUCUCAAAUGUUCAUUGUUCCAGUGCUCCCAGAACGAGGAAAAAGCUGGGACACAGCACUGUGUGCCUUGGCUUCUUUCCUCGCACUGUGACAUAAUGAAGUAGUACCACCUAGCCCAGUUCAUUGCGCUCUAAAAUGUGUUUAGCUACUUGUGAUGCCGUUCAGAACAAUCUGCUUGGCACAUUCACAGGUAGCA